UAGUGGUUGUGAAUUUACCUU
rnacentral:miRNA from 1 species